GCCACUUUUCCUGUCUUGAGGCAGUUCUCACAUAUCAUCGGCUUCAUUUCAGGAAAAAGGGGGGAAAUAGUUUAAAAGCAAACACUGAAAUGAAAGAGAAUUCACUAGGAGUUCAUCAGACUACAAGAGAAUAGCCGAGUACUUCUGACAAGUGCCUGGCAUCAGAAGGAGCAAACAGGCUCUCACCAUGCUACAAAAUCUCAUACUUUUUCUUCUUGGAUUUGUUGUACACAAUUCCUGCUCCCCGCCUGAAACUACAGACCAGGCAAAAAGAUGUGAUAAGAAAUCUCUGCUUACAAUUAGAACUGAGUGCCAGUCUUGCUCACUGAACUUGGGAAUUCAAUGCCCAGAUGGUUACACCAAGGUUACCAAUGGCUCCGUGGGCGUUCGAGAUUGCAGGUACAUCUUUGAGAUCAGGAAGUACUCGCUGUCUCUUCCUGGAUGCCGCCAUAUCUGUAGAAAGGACUAUGUCCAGCCUCAGUGCUGUCCAGGCCACUGGGGCCCAGACUGCAUGGAGUGUCCAGGAGGUGCGAGCUCCCCCUGCAGCGGCAGAGGCAUUUGUGCGGAAGGCAUGGAAGGAAACGGAACUUGUUCCUGCCAGGACGGGUUUGGAGGAACAGCCUGCGAAACCUGUGCUGAAGACAACUUAUUUGGGCCCAGCUGUUCAGCAGUGUGCAACUGUGUGCACGGAGUGUGCAACAGUGGGAGAGAGGGUGACGGAAGCUGUGAAUGCUACUCUGCGUACACCGGCCCCAACUGCGACAAGCCCGUUCCUGAAUGUGCAGCCUUGCUCUGCCCUGAAAAUUCGAGAUGCUCACCUUCCAGCCAAGAUGAAACAAAACUGGAAUGCAAAUGCCUUCCCAAUUACCGAGGCGACGGCCACUACUGCGAGCCCAUCAAUCCAUGUUUACAAGCAAUCUGCCAUCCUCAUGCUCAUUGCACGUACCUGGGACCAAAUCGGCACAGUUGCACAUGCCAAGAAGGCUACCACGGGGAUGGCCAAGUGUGCUUACCAGUAGAUCCCUGCCAGACUCACUAUGGAAAUUGCCCUACAGAGUCUACAGUGUGCAUAUAUGACGGGCCCGGACAGUCUCACUGUGAGUGUAAAGAACAUUACCACAAUUAUGUCCCUGGAGUGGGGUGCAGCAUAAUCAAUGUCUGUGAGUCUAACAACCCCUGUCACAGGAAUGCUAACUGCACUACCAUCGCACCAGGCCAACCCAAAUGCACUUGCCAGAAAGGUUAUGUGGGUGAUGGCUCAACAUGUUAUGGAAACAUCAUGGAACGACUCAGAGAAUUAAACACUGAACCUAGAGGAAAAUGGCAAGGAAAGCUGACCUCUUUCCUCUCACUCCUGGACAAAGCCUAUGCCUGGCCACUAAGUGAACUGGGACCAUUCACUGUGCUUUUGCCCACAGACAAGGGACUGAAAGGAUUAAAUAUCAAAGAGCUCUUGAUGGAUAAGGGGGCUGCUCAGUACUUCGUGAAACUCCACAUAAUUGCUGGGCAGAUGAACACCCAACGUAUGAAUAACACAGACACUUUCUACACCUUGACUGGAAAGUCAGGAGAAAUCUUCAAUGGUGAUAACGACAAUCAACUAAAGCUUAAACUCUAUGGAGGCAAAAAUAAUGUACAAAUUAUACAGGGGGACAUAGUUGCUUCCAAUGGGCUCCUGCACAUCCUCGACAGAGCCAUGGACAAGAUGGCACCCACAUUUGAGAGCAACACUGAGGAAACUAUAAUGACAAUGCUACAACCAAGAUACAGCAAGUUCAGAUCUUUGUUAGAGGAAACCAGUGUGGGACAUGCCUUAGAUGAAGAUGGGACUGGUGGACCAUACACCAUUUUUGUUCCAAGUAAUGAAGCGUUAAACAAUAUGAAGGAUGGAACUCUUGAUUACCUGCUUUCUCCAGAGGGAUCUCGGAAGCUUCUGGAACUCGUCCGAUACCACAUUGUCCCAUUUACUCAGCUUGAAGUGGCUACUCUCAUUGCGACCCCACACAUUAGGACCCUGGCCAACCAGAACAUACAGUUCAACACCACCAGCAACGGACAGAUUCUGGCAAAUGCUGUGGCCAUCGAAGAGACAGAGGUCAUUGCCAAAAACGGCCGAAUCUACACCCUGACCGGCGUCCUCAUUCCUCCCUCCAUCGUGCCAAUUCUGCCCCACCGAUGUGAUGAAAGCAAGAGAGAGAUGAAAUUGGGCACCUGUGUGAGCUGCUCUCUGGUGUAUUGGAGCAAAUGUCCUGCUAAUUCUGAGCCCACGACACUCUUCACACACAGAUGUGUCUACAAUGGCAGAGUAAGGAGCCUGAAGAGCGGCUGUGCCCGGUACUGCAAUGCCACAGUGCAGAUACCAAAGUGCUGCAAAGGUUUCUACGGGCCUGACUGCAACCAGUGUCCUGGAGGCUUCUCGAAUCCAUGCUCAGGCAACGGCCAGUGUGUGGAUGGCCUCAAUGGCAAUGGGACAUGUGUUUGCCAAGAUGGCUUCCAAGGCUCCCAGUGUCAGUUCUGCUCUGAUCCCAACAAAUAUGGACCUCGGUGUGACAAAAAAUGUCUAUGCAUCUCUGGAACAUGCAACAACAGGAUCGACAGUGACGGGGCCUGCCUGGAUGGCACGUGCAGAGAAGGCUCUGCUGGGAGGUUCUGCCACAAGCAGACCUCCACCUGCGGGCCCUACAUGCAAUUCUGUCACAUCCAUGCCACCUGUGAAUACAGCAAUGGGAUAGCAAGCUGUGUUUGCAAACCAGGAUACAAAGGGGAUGGAAGCCUCUGUUCAGAAAUGGACCCUUGUGCAGAAAUCACGAGGGGGGGCUGCAGCCGAAAUGCAGAGUGCAUCAGAACCGGCAUGGGGACCCACACAUGCGUGUGCCAGCAGGGAUGGACCGGGGAUGGCAGAGACUGCUCGGAGAUCAACCACUGCCUGCUGCCAGGUGCUGGCGGCUGCCACGCCAAUGCAACCUGUUUGUACAUUGGCCCCGGGCAGAAUGAGUGUGAGUGCAAGCAAGGGUUUCGAGGAAAUGGGAUUGAUUGUGAAGCAGUCACUUCGUGCUGGGAACAAACUGGGCAAUGUCAUCCGCUGGCAACCUGUCAGCUUACUUCUUCUGGCCUCUGGAGUUGUGUUUGCCAGGAGGGCUAUGAAGGAGACGGCCAUCUGUGCUACGGAAAUGCAGCCGUGGAAUUGUCAUUCCUCUCCGCGGCAACUGUAUUUAACCAGUGGAUAAACAAUGCUUCUCUACAACCCAUGCUGUCAGCUGCCUCAAACCUCACUGUCCUCGUGCCUUCCCAGCAAGCUAUUGAGGACAUGGAUCAAGAUGAAAAAACCUUUUGGUUGUCCAAGAGCAAUAUUCCAGUCCUAAUAAAGUACCAUAUGCUGCUGGGCACAUACAGAGUGGCAGAUCUGCAGGCUCUGUCAUCUUCAGACAUGCUGGCAACGUCUCUGCCUGGCAACUUCCUUCACCUGGUGAAGGCAGAUGAGACUGUCACGAUUGAAGGAGCAUCUGUCAUUGACGGUGACAACGUAGCCACAAACGGUGUGAUACACAUCAUCAACAAGGUUUUGGUUCCCCAAAGAAGCCUAACCGUCUCCUUGCCAAACCUGCUCACCCGGCUGGACCAGAUGCCCAACUAUUCCAUCUUCCGGGGCUACAUCAUUCAAUAUAACCUGGCCAGUGCGAUCGAGGCAGCCAGCGCUUAUACUGUGUUUGCUCCAAACAAUGACGCCAUUGAGAAUUACAUCCGGAAGAAGAAGGUCACAACUCUAGAGGAAGACAUAAUCAGGUAUCACGUGAUCUUGGAGGAGAAACUCCUGAAAAAUGACCUGCACCAAGGCAUGCAUCGGGAGACCAUGCGGGGCUCUUCCUACCUCCUUGGCUUCUUUCUCCACGAUGACCAGCUCUAUGUAAAUGAGGCUCCAAUAAACUACACCAAUGCAGCCACUGACAAGGGAGUGAUCCAUGGCUUGGGGAAAGUUCUGGAAGUUCAGAAGAAUAGAUGUGACAAUAACGACACUACUAUUGUACGAGGAAAAUGUGGGAAGUGUCUCCAGCAACCGGUCUGCCCAUUUGGAACUAAACAACUAGGUGAAGAGAUGAGGCGAUGUAUCUAUACCAUUUAUUUCAUGGGCAAGCGAUCCCUGUUCAUUGGGUGCCAGGCAAAAUGUGUGAAAACCAUCAUUACGAGAGAAUGCUGUGCGGGCUUCUUCGGUCCCCAGUGUCAGCCCUGCCCAGGAAGAGCUGAGAACGUCUGCUUUGGAAACGGGAUCUGCUUGGACGGAGUGAACGGCACAGGCGUGUGCGAGUGUGGAGAGGGCUUCUCAGGCACGGCCUGUGAGACCUGCAUGGAGGGCAAGUAUGGCCCCCACUGCGACCAAGAGUGUUCUUGUGUCCAUGGGAGAUGCAACCAAGGACCCUCGGGCGAUGGCUCCUGCGAAUGUGAUGUUGGCUGGCGGGGAGUGAGUUGCGAUACUGAGAUCACAAAAGAUGACUGCAAUGGCAUAUGCCACACGAGCGCCAACUGCCUUCUCAAUCCAGACGGUACAGCCUCUUGCAAAUGCACAGCCGGAUUCCAAGGGAAUGGAACAGUUUGCACAGCCAUCAAUGCCUGUGAGACCAGCAACGGAGGUUGCUCUACCAAGGCUGACUGCAGGAGAACCACCCCUGGAAGUCGGCGGUGUGUGUGCCGGGCAGGCUACACAGGUGAUGGCAUCGUGUGCCUCGAGAUCAACCCAUGUUUGGAGAACAAUGGUGGCUGUCACAAGAAUGCAGAGUGCACACAGACUGGACCCAACCAGGCGGUCUGUAACUGUUUGCCCAAAUACACGGGAGAUGGGAAGGUCUGCACGCUCAUCAACACCUGCCUAACCAAAAAUGGCGGCUGUAGUGAAUUCGCUAUCUGCAAUCACACUGGGCUGGAAGAAAGGACGUGUACUUGCAAGCCCAACUACAUCGGGGAUGGGUUUACCUGCCGUGGCAACAUCUACCAGGAGCUUCCCAAGAACCCAAAAACAUCCCAGUACUUCUUCCAGUUGCUGGAGCACUCUGUGCGAGACCUGAGUGGUCCAGGCCCCUUCACUGUCUUUGCACCUUUAUCUGCAGCCUUUGAUGAGGAACCUCAGAUUAAAGACUGGGACAAACAGGGUCUCAUGCCCCAGGUUCUUCGCUAUCAUGUGAUUGCCUGCCACCAGCUGCUUCUAGAAAACCUGAAGUUGAUCCCAAAUGCAACUUCUCUCCAAGGGGAAUCCAUUGUCAUCUCCGUCUCUCAGGACACGGUGUAUAUAAAUAAUAAGGCUAAGAUCAUAUCCAGUGAUAUCAUCAAUACCAAUGGAAUCAUCCACAUCAUAGACAAAUUGCUAUCUCCCCAAAACUUGCUUUUCACCCCCAAAGAUGCCUCUGGAAGGAUUGUGCAAAAUCUUACAACAGUAGCAACAAACCAUGGCUACACCAAAUUCAGCAACCUACUACAGGAUGUGGGUUUGCUGGGCGUCAUCACUGACCCUAUCCACACUCCGGUCACUCUCUUCUGGCCCAGUGACCAAGCCUUGCAAGCCCUACCCCCCGAACAACAGGAUUUCCUAUUUAACCAAGACAACAAGGACAAGCUGAAGGAAUAUUUGAAGUUCCACGUGAUCCGAGAUUCCAAGAUCUUAGCUGUGGAUCUCCCCAGGGCCACUGCCUGGAAGACCCUGCAAGGCUCAGAGCUGGGAGUGACGUGCGGAGCUGGCAGUGACAUCGGCGAGCUCUUCCUGAACGACCAAACAUGCAGAAUUGUGCAGCGAGAACUCUUGUUUGACCUAGGUGUGGCCUAUGGCAUUGAUUGCCUCCUGAUUGAUCCCACCCUCGGGGGCCGCUGUGACACUUUCGCCACGUACAAUUUUUCGGGAGACUGUUGGAGCUGCGCCAAUACGCCCAGCUGUCCAAGGUGGAGUAAGCCAAAGGGCGUGAAGCAGAAGUGUCGAUACAACACGUCCUUCAAAGGGUACCUGGAAGGCUGCCGGGAGCAGUGCACCAUGGUGAUACGGCUCCCCAGGUGCUGCAAGGGCUACUUCGGGCGAGACUGUCAGGCCUGCCCGGGAGGAGCGGAUGCCCCCUGCAGUAACCGCGGUGUCUGCCUCGAUCAGUACUCAGGCAUAGGCGAGUGUAGAUGCAACACAGGCUUCAAUGGGACGGCGUGCGAGCUGUGCCUGCCGGGGAGAUUCGGGCCUGACUGUCAGCCUUGUGGCUGCUCAGCCCACGGACAGUGUGAUGACGGCCCCACGGGCUCAGGACAGUGCUUCUGCGAAACAGGGUGGACUGGCCGCUUCUGCGACACUCAGACAGCCUUGCCCCCUGUGUGCACACCUUCUUGCUCUGCUCACGCCACCUGUAAAGAGAACAACACCUGUGAGUGUAACCUGAAUUAUGAAGGGGACGGAAUCACGUGCACAGUUGUGGAUUUCUGCAAACAGAACAACGGGGGCUGUGCCAAGGUGGCCAGGUGUUCCCAGAAGGGCACGAAGGUGUCCUGCAGCUGUCUGAAGGGCUACAAGGGGGACGGUCGCAGCUGCAAGGAGAUAGACCCCUGUGCCGACGGCCUCAACGGUGGGUGUCACGAGCACGCCACCUGCAAGAUGACCGGCCCGGGCAAGCACAAGUGUGAAUGUAAAAGCCAUUACGUGGGAGACGGGACAUACUGUGAGCCAGAGCAGCUGCCCAUCGACCGAUGUUUGCAGGACAACGGGCAGUGCCAUGCCGAUGCCGACUGUGCCGAUCUCCACUUCCAAGAUACCACCGUCGGAGUGUUCCAUCUCCGCUCCCCGCUGGGCCAGUACAAGCUGACCUUUGACAAAGCCAAAGAGGCCUGUGCCAACGAGGCAGCAAGCAUGGCAACCUACAACCAGCUCUCCUACGCCCAAAAGGCCAAGUACCACCUCUGUUCAGCAGGUUGGCUGGAGAGUGGGCGGGUAGCCUACCCCACAGCCUACGCCUCCCAGAACUGUGGCUCUGGCGUUGUUGGAAUAGUAGACUAUGGACAAAGAAACAACAAGAGUGAAAUGUGGGAUGUCUUCUGCUAUCGGAUGAAAGAUGUGAACUGCACUUGCAAGGCGGGCUACGUGGGAGACGGCUUCUCGUGCAGCGGCAAUCUGUUGCAAGUCCUGAUGUCUUUCCCUUCACUGACGAACUUCCUCACGGAGGUGCUGGCCUAUUCCAACCACUCAGCCAGAGGCCAGGCAUUUCGGAACCUGCUGACAGACCUGUCGAUCCGCAGUACCCUCUUUGUGCCACACAACAGCGGACUGGGGGAGAACGAGACGCUGUCUGGGCGAGACAUUGAGCACCACCUUGCCAAUGUCAGCAUCUUCUUUUACGAUGACCUUGUCAAUGGUACCGUCCUGCAGACUAAGCUGGGAAGCCAGCUACUCAUCACCUCCAGCCAGGACCAGCAACAACCGGAGACCAGGUUUGUCGAUGGAAGGGCCAUUCUGCAGUGGGACAUCUUUGCCUCCAAUGGGAUCAUUCAUGUCAUUUCCAGACCUUUAAAAGCACCCCCCGCUCCAGUGGCUUCAGUCCACAUGGGAGUGGGAACAGGGAUAUUCUUCGCCACCGCCCUUGUCUUUGGAGCUGCUGCAUUGGCUGCAUAUUCUUACUUCCGGCUAAACCGGAGAACAGCUGGCUUCCAGCAUUUUGAGUCGGAGGAGGAUAUCGACGUCGCGGCUCUUGGCAAGCAGCAGCCUGAGAAUAUACCAAACCCCUUGUAUGAGAGCACCCCUUCCGCUCCCCAAGAACCUUCCUGUGACUACUUCAUGGAUGCUGAAGACCAGCAGCUGGACAACACCGACCCCCUGGGGGCGCUGUGAGGGGCCUGACCUGCUGCCGCAAGCCACCCCCCUUGGCCAUCUCCUCACCUGCCUGAGCCGCCUCAAAAAGGCUGUCAACUGUGAAUCCUCACACUGGUUGUUUGGAAAGGAACUAGGUACUGAGGACGCAUGCCAGCAACACGAAGAGAACCUGAAAACAGCAGCCGAGAAGGCAGAUGCAAGAGACCGCAGACUGUAUGACUCCAUCUACAUGAAAUUUCCAAAAUAGUCAAACUCACAGAAAAUAGAUUAGUGAAUGCCAGGGUCAGGGAGUGAUGAAAAUGUUCUAGAACUUUCCAUUGGUGAUGUGUGGACUCGGGACAAUUUUUGACUGUGCACAGCUCUCCCAACCAGUGCAGGAUGUCUACCACACCAGGCCCCUGUCCUCAAAAGGUCAGAAGGGCCCUUCCAUUAACCGUGACAUUGAGCACCCUCCAACCCACCCACCACGCACUUUCAAAUGGUCCCAAGGGGGUGGGACUGGCCAGCUUUGGGAAUCACUACUGGGACAGAGAAGGGAAAAGCUGGGUUGAGCAGGCCUAAGACUCUCCUUUAGGCCCAAUAAGUUCCACGGGCUUGUGGUUUCUGCUGAGUCAGGUGAGACAUUCUGGAGGCCCCAGUAUAACCUUUUUUACAACUCCCAGAAAGGAAAGAAGUCCCAGUCUUAGGCAAAGGAACAGCUUACCAUCUCUCUGGGACAGCAUAUCAUGACGAAAAUAAUGCCAUGUUUCCAGGAGCUCGCUCCCCAAAAACGAGAGCUAAAUCCUCCAGUGAGAGAAUGGUACCACCAUGACAGGGACAAAAAUGCAAGUGAUGGAAAAGGAAGACCAGCAGGCUCUCCACAGAAGGAGAGAAUGAGACGAAGGUCUGGGCACACCGAGACAUCAAGGACAUGAAGGUGGUUUAAUACAAGUGCACACACAUACAGUUUUUUAAAAAUAAGCUCUUCAAAAUAUUUAUAAAUUUAUCCAAAACCCAGUAGUGAGUUGACUUCAUGGCACUCAUUCCUAAUUUAGUAUUAUUCAGCAUUUUCUUCCCUUAAAUCAUGGCUUCCAAUUUUUAGCUUUCCUGGCAAUUUUGAUGGCAAGCACGUGGAGGACCAUCUUCUCCGGCUCUCGAAGAAGGAACUAUCCGUGGAGGAACAGCAUUUCCAGGGCGGGGGGUAUUGGCUGCCUACCCAAGUCUGAGCUCGCGCUCAUUUUCCAUCUGUGCCUUAACUCCACAGUCUUCUGGGUCUGAAAACAAAGCUGGGGUGCUGGGACAAAUGGGGUGAGAAAUGUACCACACAUCUUCCACCCUUUCUCACCGGGGUGUUCUUUUUUUGGGUACAGUGGAAUUGGAUACGGCGUUGCCACUAAAGCACACAAAAACAGACUACUUACAAUGAGCCGGACACAAUUCAAACUUUUAUUUGGCAAGAAGUUCAGUCCUAUAACAUAAAAUUGAACAUUUAGAAUAAAUAGGAAAUUCACAUCCAGAAUAAAUAGUAAGUCUAUCUAGUUCGCACGUAUGGUGUCUGAUGCCCUACGGGCACCCUCUGUCAUUCUGCUACAUAUUUGGAACACGGUGUCCUCAGGCUUCAAGCCGGCAGUGCUAAGAAAGUACGGAGGCCUGCAGCGGGUUGGCUGCCCCAGGAAGCAGAGGCCAAGGUGAGGUUUGCAUGCGGGACGAGUGCGGGCGAGUGUUCCUGGGAUCGACACCUGGGGAUGGAAAAGAAGGAACGAGGAGGGAGGAAGGUAGGGCCGGAGUUGGCUGCUCCAGGAAGGGGGUGUGAGUGACCUCGUCUAGGGCCGGGCUUCUCCGUGAGGAAAGCUCUGGAAGAGGGCUGCCAGCUGAGGGCGGGGAGCCAGCAGCUGACCCAGCAGUUGGGGGGUAAUUCCCUGGGUUCUGCAGGUUCUGCACAGCCAAGCCCAUCCCCCUCCAUGAGCACAUGCACCAGUCAGUGCAGUGAGGGACGGUCCCUUAGUGCCCGAGCCUGGCUGUUCAAUUACGCACCACAAGGGCUAUGCCGUGUGCUAGAAACACCAGCUACAGAAGCAUGGGUGCCCAGAGGACACGGGGAGCGUGGCGCACACACCUACAGAACUUCUCUCUUCCAGCCGCAUGCAGCUCUGAGGCAGUUAACGUGUGCUUUCAGCAAGGUCGUGGUGCCGUCACCACAAGGGACGAGAGCAGGACUGGGCAAACUGGGGCCGGAGAGCCACAUCUAGCCUGCAGCUGUUUUUGUAAAUCAGGUUGUGACAGAACACAGCGUGCCCAUUCCCAGGGCAGUGGUGGCAGAAAAUGGCCCGUGAAGCGGCAAGUGCUUCCUUGCUGGCCCUUUACAGGCAACACUGGCUGAGCCCUGCGUCAGAGAAACUUCUCUCCCCUUCCUUGCCUCAACCCACGACGGUGUUAAAGAUCAGCUGAACUUGAGGCCAGACUCCCAGAUGCUAAUGCAAUAAAAAAGAGAGAGAGAGAGAAAUGGUACAAAAGGAAAUUAGUAUUAAGAGGGGAAAAUAUAGGCUCUCUUGUAGUUGAAUAGAGCAAUCAAAGAACCCUGCCUCUGGCCAAAUGUAGUCUCAAAGCAUUCUGGACAAGGGCCCCCGAGUGGGUCUUUGGCAGCAAAUGAGCACUCGGCGCCCGGAAUCAAGUCCAGUAUUUAGCACAUUCUACUGCUUAAAAGGCCUUCGGGAGGAAGAAAGAGGAAAAGCCAUUUAGUUCCCCCAAAGCUAAAUUAGUGAGGAGGGAAGAUUACUUCUCAUUUCUACUUUGCAAUAAUUAAGAGAGCCAGUGCAGUCAAAGCAACUAGUAAUUUAGUCUGAGAUGUGCCCAAAUCAGUAACAGGUGGUUUAUGUUACAUAACAUUACUGGUGAUGGCAGAAAACCGAGCUGAAGAGAGUUUAAAAAUUUAAAAAAAAAAAAAGAACAAAAAAAAAACAAGGC